rnacentral:rRNA from 1 species
UACAGAGGUCUCAAGCGUUGUCCGGAUUCAUUGGGCGUAAAGGGUGCGUAGGCGGCGCGGUAAGUCGGGUGUGAAAUCUCGGAGCUUAACUCCGAAACUGCAUUCGAUACUGCCGUGCUUGAGGACUGGAGAGGAGACUGGAAUUUACGGUGUAGCGGUGAAAUGCGUAGAUAUCAGGAGGAACACCGGUGGCGAAGGCGGGUCUCUGGGCCGAUACUGACGCUGAGGAGCGAAAGCGUGGGGAGCGAACAGG